rnacentral:rRNA from 1 species
AAUAUUGGACAAUGGGCGAAAGCCUGAUCCAGCCAUGCCGCGUGUGUGAAGAAGGUCUUCGGAUUUUAAAGCUCUUUAAGCUGGGAGGAAGGGCAGUAAGUUAAUACCUUGCUGUUUCUACGUUAUCGACAGAAUAAGUACCGGCUAACUUCGUUCCCUCUGCCGUGGUUAUACGAAGGGUGCAACGGUUAAUGGGAAUUACUGGGCGUAAAGGCCGACUAGGUGGUUCGUUAAGUUGGAAGUGAAAGCCCCGGGCUUAACCUGGGAAUUGCUUUCAAAACUGACGAGCUAGAGUACGGUAGAGGGUAGUGGAAUUUCCUGUGUAGCGGUGAAAUGCGUAGAUAUAGGAAGGAACACCAGUGGCGAAGGCGACUACCUAGACUGAUACUGACACUGAGGUGCGAAAGCGUGGGGAGCAAACAGG